GGAGGAGCCUCUGGAGAGACUCGUUAAAUCGAGCGCCGAAGGAGCAAGUUAAACAGCAUAAUCUGUUUAGUGAAACUCUCAGGCAAAAGGACAGAGGAGAUAAG
rfam:Photobacterium damselae subsp. damselae CIP 102761 Contig58, whole genome shotgun sequence.